UACAGAGGAUGCAAGCGUUAUCCGGAAUGAUUGGGCGUAAAGCGUCUGUAGGUGGCUUUUUAAGUCCGCCGUCAAAUCCCAGGGCUCAACUCUGGACAGGCGGUGGAAACUACCAAGCUCGAGUACGGUAGGGGCAGAGGGAAUUUCCGGUGGAGCGGUGAAAUGCGUAGAGAUCGGAAGGAACAUCAGUGGCGAAAGCGGCUUCCUGGACCAGCACCGACGUUCAGGCACGAAAGCGUGGGGAGCAAACAGG
rnacentral:rRNA from 1 species